rnacentral:pre_miRNA from 1 species
AAUAUUUGACGCCGUUGAUUUUUAAAAAAAUGUUUGACCGUUCGUCUUAUUUAAAAAAUUUAAGUAAUUAUUAAUUUUUUUCCUAUCAUUUGAUUUAUUGUUAAGUAUAGUUUUACGUAUACAUAUAGUUUUACACAUUUCACAAAAGUUUUUAAAUAAGACGAACGGUCAAACAUGUUUAAAAAAGUCAACGGCGUCAAACAUU